rnacentral:rRNA from 1 species
GAUGAACGCUGGCGGCGUGCUUAAUACAUGCAAGUCGAGCGAUGCGUGCACGGGUGAGUAACACGUUGAUAACCUCCUAUAAGACUGGGAUAAAUUCGGGAAACCGGAGCUAAACCCGACACUUCUAGAUUGACCCGCGCUGCAUUAGCUAGUUGGUAAGGUAACGGCUUACCAAGGCAACGAUGCAUAGCCGACCUGAGAGGGUGAUCGGCCACACUGGAACUGAGACACGGUCCAGACUCCUACGGGAGGCAGCAGUAGGGAAUCUUCCGCAAUGGGCGAAAUCCUGACGGAGCCACGCCGCGUGAGUGAUGAAGUUCUUCGGAUCGUAAAACUCUGUUAUUAGGGAAGCGGUACCUGAUCAGAAAGCCACGGCUAACUACGUGCCAGCAGCCGCGGUAAUUC